rnacentral:rRNA from 1 species
GAUAAGGUUAAGUGAAUAAGGGCGCACGGUGGAUGCCUUGGCACUAGGAGCCGAUGAAGGACGGGACUAACACCGAUAUGCUUUGGGGAGCUGUACGUAAGCUAUGAUCCAGAGAUUUCCGAAUGGGGGAACCCAGCAUCUUUAAUAGGAUGUUACGAUUGUGUGAAUACAUAGCACAUUCGAGGUAGACGCAGAGAACUGAAACAUCUAAGUACCUGCAGGAAGAGAAAGAAAAUUCGAUUCCCUGAGUAGCGGCGAGCGAAACGGGAAAAGCCCAAACCAACAAGC